rnacentral:rRNA from 1 species
GAUGAACGCUGGCGGCGUGCCUAAUACAUGCAAGUCGAGCGAACGGACGAGAAGCUUGCUUCUCUGAUGUUAGCGGCGGACGGGUGAGUAACACGUGGAUAACCUACCUAUAAGACUGGGAUAACUUCGGGAAACCGGAGCUAAUACCGGAUGAUAUUUUGAACCGCAUGGUUCAAAAGUGAAAGACGGUCUUUCUUUCACUUAUAGAUGGAUCCGCGCUGCAUUAGCUAGUUGGUAAGGUAACGGCUUACCAAGGCAACGAUGCAUAGCCGACCUGAGAGGGUGAUCGGCCACACUGGAACUGAGACACGGUCCAGACUCCUACGGGAGGCAGCAGUAGGGAAUCUUCCGCAAUGGGCGAAAGCCUGACGGAGCAACGCCGCGUGAGUGAUGAAGGUCUUCGGAUCGUAAAACUCUGUUAUUAGGGAAGAACAUAUGUGUAAGUAACUGUGCACAUCUUGACGGUACCUAAUCAGAAAGCCACGGCUAACUACGUG